GCCUUAUGUUGUUCUCAAGCAACACCAGACUUCGACUAGAAAUUCUCUGGAGCUGACUAAGAAGGAAACAGGGCUCUGAGCCAGAGCUGGUUCGCUCAAGAAUCUUACUGCACCCAAGGAUCCUGGGACCGCAUCCCCAAGAGAGGAAAUUUGGACACACAGACACCAGGGUGCACACACACGGAAGAAAGACCCUGUGAGGACACAGCAAGAAGGCAGCCAUCUGCAAGCCAAGGAGAGAGGUCUCAGGAGAAACCAAACCUGUUGACACCUUGACCUUGGACUUCCAGCCUCCAAAACUGUGAGAAAUACAUUUCUGUUGUUUUAGCCACCCAGCCUAUGGUACUUUGUUAUGGCAGC